GCAUAUCAAUAAGCGGAGGAAAAGAAACCAACAGGGAUUGCCCUAGUAACGGCGAGUGAACAGGCAAGAGCUCAGAUUUGAAAGGCACUUUUGUGCCGUUGUAUUCUGAAGUUAGGGUCCUGAGAAACGAUGCUUAAGUCUUCUGGAAAGGAGCGCCAUGGAGGGUGAUAGCCCCGUCUAGCAUUGACCUCAUAUAGGAUCUUAACAUGGAGUCGAGUUGUUUGGGAAUGCAGCUCAAAUGGGUGGUAUGCUCCAUCUAAAGCUAAAUAUCUGCGAGAGACCGAUAGUAAACAAGUACUGUGAGGGAAAGAUGAAAAGAACUUUGAAAAGAGAGUGAAAAAGUACGUGAAAUUGUUGAAAUGGAAGGGUAGGCCGCUAACCAUGUAGAGCCGUGUUUGGGGGGAAGAUAAAUGCUGUAGAAUGUAGCUCCUCGGAGUAUUAUAGAUGCAGUUCAUAUUCCCACCCGAGCGCGAGGAUCUCAGGUUCUACUAAAU
rnacentral:rRNA from 1 species